CAGCCGCCGCGGGAAAACAGAGGGUGCGAGCGUUAAUCGGUUUUACUGGGCGUAAAGCGUGCGUAGGCGGCUUCUUAAGUCGGAUGUGAAAUCCCUGAGCUUAACUUAGGAAUUGCAUUCGAUACUGGGAAGCUAGAGUAUGGGAGAGGAUGGUAGAAUUCCAGGUGUAGCGGUGAAAUGCGUAGAGAUCUGGAGGAAUACCGAUGGCGAAGGCAGCCAUCUGGCCUAAUACUGACGCUGAGGUACGAAAGCAUGGGGAGCAAACAGGAUUAGAUACCCCCGUAGUCCCUGUCUCUAUACA
rnacentral:rRNA from 1 species